rnacentral:rRNA from 1 species
CCUACGGGAGGCAGCAGUGGGGAAUUUUGGACAAUGGGCGAAAGCCUGAUCCAGCAAUGCCGCGUGAGUGAAGAAGGCCUUCGGGUUGUAAAGCUCUUUUGUCAGGGAAGAAACGGUGAAAGCUAAUAUCUUUUGCUAAUGACGGUACCUGAAGAAUAAGCACCGGCUAACUACGUGCCAGCAGCCGCGGUAAUACGUAGGGUGCAAGCGUUAAUCGGAAUUACUGGGCGUAAAGCGUGCGCAGGCGGUUUUGUAAGUCUGAUGUGAAAUCCCCGGGCUCAACCUGGGAAUUGCAUUGGAGACUGCAAGGCUAGAAUCUGGCAGAGGGGGGUAGAAUUCCACGUGUAGCAGUGAAAUGCGUAGAUAUGUGGAGGAACACCGAUGGCGAAGGCAGCCCCCUGGGUCAAGAUUGACGCUCAUGCACGAAAGCGUGGGGAGCAAACAGGAUUAGAUACCCUGGUAGUCCACGCCCUAAACGAUGUCUACUAGUUGUCGGGUCUUAAUUGACUUGGUAACGCAGCUAACGCGUGAAGUAGACCGCCUGGGGAGUCGGUCGCAAGNUUAAACACAANAGAGUAGAGCGNGAGAGAGCGACGACGACGACGAGGGAGGAGGNG